rnacentral:rRNA from 1 species
UACAUGUGGGGCAAGCGUUGUUCGGAAUUACUGGGCAUAAAGGGUGCGUAGGUGGCUUGUUAAGUCAGGGGUGAAAGUUUUCGGCCCAACCGGAAAAUGGCCUUUGAUACUGGCGAGCUCGAGUGCGUGAGGAGUAACCGGAACGAGCAGUGUAGCGGUGAAAUGCGUAGAUAUUGCUCGGAAGGCCAACGGCGAAGGCAGGUUACUGGUGCGCAACUGACACUGAGGCACGAAAGCGUGGGGAGCAAACAGG